CUGGCUGGGUCUCCUGAAAGAAUAUAGUCUGGAUGUUGGCCAGGCCAGUGGAUCAGCUUCCAAGCCUACUCAGGAAUUUUCUAGAAGCGAUGUAAUUUUUGUCUUCACAACAGAUUGAACAGAGUCAGACAAGAGACUUCCAAUAAGCCAGAUUUGCAAACAUAAACAAUAAAGACACCAUAAUCCCUACAUUUUGGCGCUUUGUACCUGGGCUCCUUUGACACGCGUUGAUUCCUGCUUUCUGGAUCUCAUAGACUGCUGUUUCUGCCUGCACGGGCCAGAUGGCCCAGCACCUUCCCUUCCAGUCCGCUUAGCGCAGUCAUAGGCUUCUGUCCGGCUUGGAUUUGUCUUUUCUGCUCUGCAUUCAAGGCCCGUUCACCUCCGCAGUCAAGCCUCGUUCACCUCCGCAGUUCUGAGACCUGGGGAAGGCAGAGCCCCAUCUCCCACUUAGGGAACUGGGUGGAUUGGAUACUCCUUUUCCCCACUCCUGGUUGGUGGCACCUGGCCGGGUGCCUGAGGCCUGACUGCACGAAUGGCCUGCAUGGGACUUUGACUCUAGAGCUGGCAACGGAGAGGGCGGCUCAGGGGAUGGGAAUGUCUGAAGCCUGUCAAGAAGCAGUCCUAUAACAAUGUGGACCAACCAUGACUGUGGGGGGCCUUGACCCCCCACCCCUCGCUAGAACUCUUGAGUGCCUUUUACGGGCAUGUCUGGGCCUGCUGCAAGUCUACCCGGCAACAAGGAAGUAGCCCCAGUACCCUCCCCUUGCUCCUCGCCUCUAGCCCUACAGUAUAUAUGCUGUAGCAGCUUCCGCAAUAAACGAGACUUGAUCAGAAACC
rnacentral:lncRNA from 1 species